rnacentral:rRNA from 1 species
GAUGAACGCUAGCUACAGGCUUAACACAUGCAAGUCGAGGGGCAGCAUGAAAGGAACUUCGGUUCUUUUUGAUGGCGACCGGCGCACGGGUGCGUAACGCGUAUCGAACCUGCCUCAUACUCGGGGAUAGCCUUGCGAAAGUAAGAUUAAUACCCGGCGGUCUCGGAUGGCCGCAUGACUAUCCGAGUGAAGAUUUAUCGGUAUGAGAUGGCGAUGCGUCCCAUUAGCUAGUUGGUGAGGUAAUGGCUCACCAAGGCAUCGAUGGGUAGGGGUUCUGAGAGGAAGGUCCCCCACAUUGGAACUGAGACACGGUCCAAACUCCUACGGGAGGCAGCAGUGAGGAAUAUUGGUCAAUGGACGAAAGUCUGAACCAGCCAAGUAGCGUGCAGGAAGACGGCCCUCUGGGUUGUAAACUGCUUUUAGUUGGGAAUGAAAAGAGGGACGUGUCCCUUAUUGUAUGUACCAUCAGAAAAAGGACCGGCUAAUUCCGUGCCAGCAGCCGCGGUAAUACGGAAGGUCCAGGCGUUAUCCGGAUUUAUUGGGUUUAAAGGGAGCGCAGGCGGCGGCGUAAGUCAGUUGUGAAAUCGUGCGGCUUAACCGUGCAAUUGCAGUUGAUACUGCGUCGCUUGAGUGCACACAGGGAUGUUGGAAUUCAUGGUGUAGCGGUGAAAUGCUUAGAUAUCAUGAAGAACUCCGAUCGCGAAGGCAUAUGUCCGGAGUGCAACUGACGCUGAGGCUCGAAAGUGUGGGUAUCAAACCAGG